rnacentral:rRNA from 1 species
UACGUAGGGUGCAAGCGUUGUCCGGAAUUAUUGGGCGUAAAGAGCUCGUAGGCGGUCUGUCGCGUCUGCUGUGAAAACUCGGGGCUUAACCCCGGGCCUGCAGUGGGUACGGGCAGACUAGAGUGCGGUAGGGGAGACUGGAAUUCCCGGUGUAGCGGUGAAAUGCGCAGAUAUCGGGAAGAACACCCGUGGCGAAGGCGGCACUCUGGGACGGUACUGACGCUGAGACGCGAAAGCGUGGGGAGCGAACAGG